rnacentral:rRNA from 1 species
GCCUCAGUAACGGCGAGUGAAGCGGCAACAGCUCAAAUUUGAAAUCUGGCCUUCUGGUCCUAGUUGUAAUUUGUAGAGGACGUUUUCUGGCGCGGUGCCUUCCGAGUUCCGGAACAGGACGCCUUAGAGGGUGAGAGCCCCGUACGGUUGGAUGCCUAGCCUGUGUAAAACUCCUUCGACGAGUCGAGUAGUUUGGGAAUGCUGCUCUAAAUGGGAGGUAAAUUUCUUCUAAAGCUAAAUACCGGCCAGAGACCGAUAGCGCACAAGUAGAUGAUCGAAAGAUGAAAAGCACUUUGAAAAGAGGGUUAAAUAGGACGUGAAAUUGUUGAAAGGGAAGCGCUCAUGACCAGACCUUCGCCCGGCGGAUCAUCCGGUGUUCCUCACCGGUGCGCUUCGCCCGGCCUAGGCCAGCAUCGAUUCUCGUAGGGGGAUAAAGGCUCCGGGAACGUAGCUCUCUUCGGAGAGUGUUAUAGCCCGCCGCGCAAUACCUCUGCGGGGAUCGAGGUUCGCGCUCUGCAAGGAUGCUGGCGUAAUGGUCAUCAGUGACCCGUCUUGAAACACGGACCAAGGAGUCGAACAUUUGUGCGAGUGUUUGGGUGUCAAACCCCUCACGCGUAAUAAAAGUGAACGGAGGUGAGAGCCCCCCCCCCUCCGCGGGGGGGGGGUGCAUCAUCGACCGAUCCUGAUGUCUUCGGAUGGAUUUGAGUAAGAGCAUAACUGUUCGGACCCGAAAGAUGGUGAACUAUGCGUAGAUAGGGUGAAGCCAGAGGAAACUCUGGUGGAGGCUCGCAGCGGUUCUGACGUGCAAAUCGAUCGUCAAAUCUGUGCAUAGGGACGAAAGAUCAAUCGAACCAUCUAGUAGCUGGUUACCGCCGAAGUUUCCCUCAGGAUAGCAGUGUUGUGUUCAGUUUUAUGAGGUAAAGCGAAUGAUUAGGGACUCGGGGGCGCUCUUUAGCCUUCAUCCAUUCUCAAACUUUAAAUAUGUAAGAAGCCCUUGUUACUUAGCUGAACGUGGGCAUUCGAAUGUAUCAACACUAGUGGGCCAUUUUUGGUAAGCAGAACUGGCGAUGCGGGAUGAACCGAACGCGGGGUUAAGGUGCCAGAGUAGACGCUCAUCAGACACCACAAAAGGUGUUAGUACAUCUUGACAGCAGGACGGUGGCCAUGGAAGUCGGAAUCCGCUAAGGACUGUGUAACAACUCACCUGCCGAAUGUACUAGCCCUGAAAAUGGAUGGCGCUCAAGCGUCUCACCUAUACCCCGCCCUUAGGGUAGAAGCGACGCCCUAAGGAGUAGGCGGCCGUGGAGGUCGGGACGAAG